GAGUUUGAUCAUGGCUCAGAUUGAACGCUGGCGGCAGGCCUAACACAUGCAAGUCGAGCGGUAGAGAGGAGCUUGCUUCUCUUGAGAGCGGCGGACGGGUGAGUAAUGCCUAGGAAUCUGCCUAGUGGUGGGGGAUAACGUUCGGAAACGGACGCUAAUACCGCAUACGUCCUACGGGAGAAAGCGGGGGAUCUUCGGACCUCGCGCCAUUAGAUGAGCCUAGGUCGGAUUAGCUAGUUGGUGAGGUAAUGGCUCACCAAGGCGACGAUCCGUAACUGGUCUGAGAGGAUGAUCAGUCACACUGGAACUGAGACACGGUCCAGACUCCUACGGGAGGCAGCAGUGGGGAAUAUUGGACAAUGGGCGAAAGCCUGAUCCAGCCAUGCCGCGUGUGUGAAGAAGGUCUUCGGAUUGUAAAGCACUUUAAGUUGGGAGGAAGGGUCGUAACCUAAUACGUUACGGCUUUGACGUUACCGACAGAAUAAGCACCGGCUAACUUCGUGCCAGCAGCCGCGGUAAUACGAAGGGUGCAAGCGUUAAUCGGAAUUACUGGGCGUAAAGCGCGCGUAGGUGGUUCAGCAAGUUGGAUGUGAAAGCCCUGGGCUCAACCUGGGAACUGCAUCCAAAACUACUGAGCUAGAGUACGGUAGAGGGUAGUGGAAUUUCCUGUGUAGCGGUGAAAUGCGUAGAUAUAGGAAGGAACACCAGUGGCGAAGGCGACUACCUGGACUGAUACUGACACUGAGGUGCGAAAGCGUGGGGAGCAAACAGGAUUAGAUACCCUGGUAGUCCACGCCGUAAACGAUGUCGACUAGCCGUUGGGAUCCUUGAGAUCUUAGUGGCGCAGCUAACGCAUUAAGU
rnacentral:rRNA from 1 species